rnacentral:rRNA from 1 species
CACACCGCCCGUCACACCAUGGGAGUUUGUUGCACCAGAAGCAGGUAGCUUAACCUCGGGAGGGCGCUUGCCACGGUGUGGCCGAUGACUGGGGUG